AGAGUUUGAUCCUGGCUCAGGACGAACGCUGGCGGCGUGCCUAACACAUGCAAGUCGAACGGUUCAGUGAUUAGCACUGAGCGCAAGGUAAAAGUUGCGUUGAGUGCUAAUCGCUGGAUAGUGGCGGACGGGCGAGUAACGCGUGAGCAAUCUGCCUUGUACUGGGGGAUAACGUCGGGAAACCGGCGCUAAUACCGCAUAACACUACGAGAUCGCAUGGUCAUGUAGUCAAAACUCCGGUGGUACAAGAUGAGCUCGCGUCCAAUUAGCUAGUUGGUGAGGUAAUGGCCCACCAAGGCGACGAUUGGUAGCCGAACUGAGAGGUUGAUCGGCCGCAUUGGGACUGAGACACGGCCCAGACUCCUACGGGAGGCAGCAGUGGGGAAUAUUGCGCAAUGGAGGAAACUCUGACGCAGCAACGCCGCGUGAAGGAUGAAGGCUUUCGGGUUGUAAACUUCUUUGAUCGGGGACGAAAAUGACGGUACCCGAGGAACAAGCCACGGCUAACUACGUGCCAGCAGCCGCGGUAAUACGUAGGUGGCAAGCGUUGUCCGGAAUUACUGGGUGUAAAGGGCGUGUAGGCGGGAAUGUAAGUCAGAUGUGAAAUCCCAGGGCUUAACUCUGGAGCUGCAUCUGAAACUGCGUUUCUUGAGUGUCGGAGAGGAAAGUGGAAUUCCCAGUGUAGCGGUGAAAUGCGUAGAGAUUGGGAGGAACACCAGUGGCGAAGGCGGCUUUCUGGACGAUAACUGACGCUGAGGCGCGAAAGCGUGGGGAGCAAACAGGAUUAGAUACCCGGGUAGUCCACGCUGUAAACGAUGGAUACUAGGUGUAGGAGGUAUCGACCCCUUCUGUGCCGGAGUUAACACAAUAAGUAUCCCACCUGGGGAGUACGGCCGCAAGGUUGAAACUCAAAUGAAUUGACGG
rnacentral:rRNA from 1 species